CACUUACAGACAGGAAGAUAUCAUAGGCAUAUCUCCACAGAAGAUGGAACUUAGCAGCAGUGUGGUGAGAUCUUGAAAUACCACCAGCAGCAGAGUGGAGAAUAAAAAAACAAAUAGUCAAAGUUAAAAUAUUAAAAAACAAAAUCCAUGAAAGUCCAUAUAUUGUAGUUAAAUCCAACGCGUUUCGUCCAAUCAAUAGAGGCCUCCUCAGGAAUCUAUGGGAAUGCAUUGUAAUGGGGACUUCUUAUAGUGCUGGUAACCCUUGUGGAUCCAUUUCACAUGAUAGUUGGCGUGCGUUCCAUUUCGGAACGCAAUGACGUACAUCCUGUCUGACCAAGGCAAUUAGCGUGGUCGUUCAUAUGAAUGUAGCAUUCGAAUGAAUACAGAGGCAGCACGUGCGCAUGCUACUGAAAACGCAUAGGCGCGCGUAAAAGGUAAAACCACAGGAAAUCUGAAGGGAAAAUAAGACCGAAUAGGCGAACAGUCGCCUUAAACACAAUAACAAAAUCUAAGUGGUGUAUGAACAUCAAAAAGAACAGCAGACCUAACUAGUAUACUGUGCUGUGUGUAAACGACUAAGGGAAUGGAAACA